UGGGGAAUAUUGCACAAUGGGCGCAAGCCUGAUGCAGCAACGCCGCGUGAGGGAUGACGGCCUUCGGGUUGUAAACCUCUUUUAGUAGGGAAGAAGCGAAAGUGACGGUACCUGCAGAAAAAGCACCGGCUAACUACGUGCCAGCAGCCGCGGUAAUACGUAGGGUGCGAGCGUUGUCCGGAAUUAUUGGGCGUAAAGAGCUCGUAGGCGGUCUGUCGCGUCUGCUGUGAAAACCCGAGGCUCAACCUCGGGCCUGCAGUGGGUACGGGCAGACUAGAGUGCGGUAGGGGAGAAUGGAAUUCCUGGUGUAGCGGUGGAAUGCGCAGAUAUCAGGAGGAACACCGAUGGCGAAGGCAGUUCUCUGGGCCGUAACUGACGCUGAGGAGCGAAAGCGUGGGGAGCGAACAGGAUUAGAUACCCUGGUAGUCCACGCCGUAAACGUUGGGCGCUAGAUGUGGGGACCAUUCCACGGUUUCCGUGUCGCAGCUAACGCAUUAAGCGCCCCGCCUGGGGAGUACGGCCGCAAGGCUAAAAC
rnacentral:rRNA from 1 species